UGCGUCAUUUGUUUCCAGAAGUCGCCCCAGAACCGGUCAUGAUUUUUCUUUCGUCACCUCGCGGGAGAAAGCGAGACGGAGUCCGAGAGGCGUGCGUCCUUCGCCACUCGAGACCACCAGAAAAAGAAACACAGCCGCCGCCGGAAACUGACGAUGCGAUCGCCCCGCUGCAAGCUCUUGCUAUCCGCCGGCGAGGCGGAGCUCCGUCGAGGUGGCGGCGGAGGCGGAGGGAGUCCCGCGUCGUUCUACGAGAUCACUCUCGAUUACCAUGAGCGGAUGUCCCGAGCCCAUCUCGGAUCUCGGCGGUGGAUCCACUCCUCUCUUCUUCCCGAAUGGACGCCGCUUCUCGACCCACCGUUGACAACGGAACCGGGGUUUCUACCAAGAACAAAGUCACAAUCCAAGAAUCACAUCAAACAGAAAGGAAAAGAAAAGAAAUAUGACCCAAGAAUCAGAUGAUGCGAAAGUGAUCAUCAUUGGAAUAUCAUGCGACUAAGAAGGAGGAGGGCAAGGACAUAUAACUGAAGCUGCAUCUUCCACAUCUGCUUUUCCUUUUCCCUGAAAUCUGCCUCCAUGAUGCAUGCCUUCAAAUAUUAUUUUGUAUGACUAUACUUACUCUUCUUUUUGCAGUACAUACUGUUGUUGGUGUCUACAAUGAAUCGCUAGUUGCAAUUGAAUUGAAAUGCUGACAAUGAUGAUGCAACUCCGUUACAAUCUUUUAUAAUAUGAAGUGGCUCAUGUAUGAAAAAAGGAAUACAUAU